UACGUAGGGGGCAAGCGUUGUCCGGAUUUAUUGGGCGUAAAGAGCGUGUAGGCGGUUUGGUAGGUCCGUUGUGAAAACUCGAGGCUCAACCUCGAGACGCCGAUGGAAACCAUCAGACUAGAGUCCGGAAGAGGAGAGUGGAAUUCCUGGUGUAGCGGUGAAAUGCGCAGAUAUCGGGAGGAACACCGAUGGCGAAGGCAGCUCGCUGGGACGGUACUGGCGCUGAGGCGCGAAAGCGUGGGGAGCAAACAGG
rnacentral:rRNA from 1 species